CAGCCGCCACGGUAAUACGGAGGGAGCUAGCGUUGUUCGGAAUUACUGGGCGUAAAGCGCGCGUAAGCGGUUACUCAAGUCAGAGGUGAAAGCCCGGGGCUCAACCCCGGAACUGCCUUUGAAACUAGGUGACUAGAAUCUUGGAGAGGUCAGUGGAAUUCCGAGUGUAGAGGUGAAAUUCGUAGAUAUUCGGAAGAACACCAGUGGCGAAGGCGACUGACUGGACAAGUAUUGACACUGAGGUGCGAAAGCGUGGGGAGCAAACAGGAUUAGAUACCCCCGUAGUCCCUGUCUCUUAUAC
rnacentral:rRNA from 1 species